rnacentral:rRNA from 1 species
CCUACGGGAGACAGCAGUAGGGAAUCUUCCACAAUGGGCGAAAGCCUGAUGGAGCAACGCCGCGUGGGUGAAGAAGGUCUUCGGAUCGUAAAACCCUGUUGUUAGAGAAGAAAGUGCGUGAGAGUAACUGUUCACGUUUCGACGGUAUCUAACCAGAAAGCCACGGCUAACUACGUGCCAGCAGCCGCGGUAAUACGUAGGUGGCAAGCGUUAUCCGGAUUUAUUGGGCGUAAAGGGAACGCAGGCGGUCUGUUAAGUCUGAUGUGAAAGCCUUCGGCUGAACCGGGGUAGUGCAUUGGAUACUGGGAUGCUUGAGUGCAGUAGAGGAGAGUGGAACUCCAGGUGUAGCGGUGAAAUGCGUAGAUAUAUGGAAGAACACCAGUGGCGAAGGCGGCUCCCUGGACUGUAACUGACGCUGAGGUGCGAAAGCGUGGGUAGCAAACAGGAUUAGAUACCCGGGUAGUC